UACGUAGGGGGCUAGCGUUGUCCGGAAUCAUUGGGCGUAAAGAGCGUGUAGGCGGCCCGGUAAGUCCGCUGUGAAAGUCGGGGGCUUAACCCUCGGAUGCCGGUGGAUACUGUCGGGCUCGAGUACGGAAGAGGCGAGUGGAAUUCCUGGUGUAGCGGUGAAAUGCGCAGAUAUCAGGAGGAACACCUAUUGCGAAGGCAGCUCGCUGGGACGUUACUGACGCUGAGACGCGAAAGCGUGGGGAGCAAACAGG
rnacentral:rRNA from 1 species